CAGGCGGUUAGAUAAGUNUGAAGUUAAAGGCUGUGGCUUAACCAUAGUACGCUUUGGAAACUGUUUAACUNGAGUGCAGAAGGGGAGAGUGGAAUUCCAUGUGUAGCGGUGAAAUGCGUAGAUAUAUGGAGGAACACCGGUGGCGAAAGCGGCUCUCUGGUCUGUAACUGACGCUGAGGCUCGAAAGCGUGNGGAGCGAACAGGAUUAGAUACCCUGGUAGUCCACGCCGUAAACGAUGAGUGCUAGGUGUUAGGCCCUUUCCGGGGCUUAGUGCCGCAGCUAACGCAUUAAGCACUCCGCCUGGGGAGUACGACCGCAAGGUUGAAGCUCAAAGGAAUUGACGGGGGCCCGCACAAGCGGUGGAGCAUGUGGUUUAAUUCGAAGCAACGCGAAGAACCUUACCAGGUCUUGACAUCCCGAUGCCCGCUCUAGAGAUAGAGUUUUACUUCGGUACAUCGGUGACAGGUGGUGCAUGGUUGUCGUCAGCUCGUGUCGUGAGAUGUUGGGUUAAGUCCCGCAACGAGCGCAACCCUUAUUGUUAGUUGCCAUCAUUCAGUUGGGCACUCUAGCGAGACUGCCGGUAAUAAACCGGAGGAAGGUGGGGAUGACGUCAAAUCAUCAUGCCCCUUAUGACCUGGGCUACACACGUGCUACAAUGGCUGGUACAACGAGUCGCAAGUCGGUGACGGCAAGCUAAUCUCUUAAAGCCAGUCUCAGUUCGGAUUGUAGGCUGCAACUCGCCUACAUGAAGUCGGAAUCGCUAGUAAUCGCGGAUCAGCACGCCGCGGUGAAUACGUUCCCGGGCCUUGUACACACCGCCCGUCACACCACGAGAGUUUGUAACACCCGAAGUCGGUGAGGUAACCUUUU
rnacentral:rRNA from 1 species